rnacentral:lncRNA from 1 species
GGGUAGGUAGUGGAAAAUUACAGUCAAAGGGGGUUGUGUUCUUGCGGGCAGGGGUGGGGGUCACAAGGUGCUCAGUGGGGGUGCUUCUGAGCCAGGAGAUGGAAUUUCACAAGGUUCCUUAUCACAGGAAGAAAAUUUUCCUUGACCUUUAGGUGCUUUUAUAUUCAUCUCAAAAACAAAAUUCUGAACUCAGGACUUGGCAAGUGUCUCUAUGUUGUCUCCUAGAGUGGGUAGUCCUGCUUCUUUUACCCAGUUACUUUCCCGUUUUUGAAAUGUGGCUAUCACUUCUCUACACAUUACCUCCAUGAUUUGGAAUGGAAAAGGCCACUUUUCUUUUUGUUCUGCCUCUCAAAUUCAACACAGAGGAGCUCCUAGGAUUCCAGUUAUCCUGCUAACAUCUCCAGGAAGAAAGAAGCAACUCACAUGGGUCUUUUGCUGUUUGCUUAAUUAUAAAGACAUCAUUUUGCAAGCAGAA